rnacentral:lncRNA from 1 species
CGGAGUAUUUUUCCAGAGGCUACACCGGAUUACUUGGCUGGGAUCAAUGAAGCUGAUGCUAGUGGUAAAUUCAUUUCAGGAAGGAAGCGCAGUUACGCUGAGAGCACACUAACAGAGCAGAGUCUAUACUCAGCUGAAUCUUGAAGGAUGGUCCAUUCCAAAAAGACUGCAGGAUUUAUUCCUGAUGAUGAUGAUUUUAUACUCAGCUGAAUCUUUAAGGAUGGUCCAUUCCAAAAAGACUGCAGGAUUUAUUCCUGAUGAUGAUGAUUUGCUUUCUUCUAUCCUAGGUACAUUAGAAUUCUCCUCUCAGACUUUAUAAAAUGAAAGGGUGACUAUUUUUCAUCUUAAUGAAAAUUUCUGGCUCUUCUUCUUUAGAAUAUGCCAUAAAUCCUCUUUUCUGAUUCUUGUGAAGCAUUCCAAUUUUCCAAAUUAUUUGCCACAAUUCUGCAAAGAUUAAUGUUUAUAAUAUGCCUGUCAAAGUAAGGAUAAUAUUAUGUCACAUGCAAGGAUUGAACCUAUGACCAGC